rnacentral:rRNA from 1 species
GGCGGACGGGUGAGUAACACGUGGGCAACCUGCCUUACAGAUGGGGAUAACUCCGGGAAACCGGGGCUAAUACCGAAUAAUCAGUUAGUCCGCAUGGACUAACUCUGAAAGACGGUUUCGGCUGUCACUGUGAGAUGGGCCCGCGGCGCAUUAGCUAGUUGGUGGGGUAAUGGCCUACCAAGGCGACGAUGCGUAGCCGACCUGAGAGGGUGAUCGGUCACACUGGGACUGAGACACGGCCCAGACUCCUACGGGAGGCAGCAGUAGGGAAUCUUCCACAAUGGACGAAAGUCUGAUGGAGCAAUGCCGCGUGAGCGAAGAAGGUUUUCGGAUCGUAAAGCUCUGUUGUAAGGGAAGAACACGUACGGGAGUAACUGCCCGUACCUUGACGGUACCUUAUUAGAAAGCCACGGCUAACUACGUGCCAGCAGCCGCGGUAAUACGUAGGUGGCAAGCGUUGUCCGGAAUUAUUGGGCGUAAAGCGCGCGCAGGCGGUCCUUUAAGUCUGAUGUGAAAGCCCACGGCUCAACCGUGGAGGGUCAUUGGAAACUGGGGGACUUGAGUACAGAAGAGGAAAGCGGAAUUCCACGUGUAGCGGUGAAAUGCGUAGAGAUGUGGAGGAACACCAGUGGCGAAGGCGGCU